rnacentral:rRNA from 1 species
AUUGAACGCUGGCGGCAUGCCUUACACAUGCAAGUCGAACGGCAGCACGGGGCAACCUGGUGGCGAGUGGCGAACGGGUGAGUAAUGCAUCGGAACGUACCUUUCAGUGGGGGAUAACGUAGCGAAAGUUACGCUAAUACCGCAUAUUCUGUGAGCAGGAAAGCAGGGGAUCGCAAGACCUUGUGCUGAUUGAGCGGCCGAUGUCAGAUUAGCUAGUUGGGGAGGUAAAGGCUAUCCAAGGCGACGAUCUGUAGCGGGUCUGAGAGGAUGAUCCGCCACACUGGAACUGAGACACGGUCCAGACUCCUACGGGAGGCAGCAGUGGGGAAUUUUGGACAAUGGGGGCAACCCUGAUCCAGCCAUGCCGCGUGAGUGAAGAAGGCCUUCGGGUUGUAAAGCUCUUUCGGCCGGGAAGAAAUCGCACGGGCUAAUACCCUGUGUGGAUGACGGUACCGGAAUAAGAAGCACCGGCUAACUACGUGCCAGCCGCCGCCGUAACAC